rnacentral:lncRNA from 1 species
AUUACUAAAGAUUUUUAUUCAGUAGAACAAUCAGAAAUUUAAGGCAGUGGGGUUUUAGUGACCAAAAGCCAUAGGUAAAGUCAUUUAACAGUAAAAGACAAAAAUUCCAUAGCAUUACAUGCACGUGAACCAACUCCUAAGUUCUCUAAUUGAGUAAAACCAGGCCUGCUGAUGGAAAUAGAGAGGCCAUAGGGUAACAACUGCGGGGAAAGCCGGAAUGGCCUUUUCCUGGACCAAAGAUUCUCAGACACAGAUAAGUCAAACCCAAAAAUCUAUUCUUGCUCACGUUCCACUGUGGAGGCACAGCAGGAGUUUAUCCUACUGAAGUCAUGUCAACACUCUGAAAACAAAAGUUUGUCCUUUGUAUCCAUUCUUAACAACAUUCAGGGUAUUUGCACCAUCAGCGAGCACAUCAACACACCAGAAUUUAAAGCAAACAGAAGACCCCCCCCAAACCAAACCACCACCAAAAACCCCAACAUGCUACUUUCUCCUCAACACAUAUAUGCAACCAGGAAAAUCUUAACUUGAAGUAACUCAUGCUGCACGUGCAGGGCGUCCACAGAAACAAUCAGCUGCAGUCUUCAGGUCCAGAGCAACAGAAAUACAGCAAAGCAUUUGGAAUGAGUCUGCACACGUACAGUUCAAGCCAUCGCCACUAGUUCAGUGUUACCAUUAAGAUGAUGUGCCCGAAUUCAUCCAGCCCACGAGCCUCACUUGCCUGCUCUCUGCCCUUCUUUUGGCAGCUUCUACCCUCUCUUAUAUUCUUUUUACUUUCUCUCAUCUCUCAUGCGUAACAUGUUCAGUCAACUUUAGAAGACCCCUUCAUCAUUUCCCACAUCCAAGGAAAAAACACACUAAAAAUCUCUCCUAGUUUGUGGUCCUUCCCUUUCUUCUCACAUCACCUUUGUUUUUACAGCAAUACAGCAGUUCUUAUGAGACAAACAUGCAGUAGGAGAGCUUACAGUCCCCAAGAACCAGGGCAGAUGGGGGACUUUCACCAGAGGUCAAUAGAAACCCCAAAAGGGAAAGCAGAAGUCACCUGCAGGACAUCACUCAAUGAAAUCAAGCAUUCUUCCUUAGCAGUAUUAACUAUUCCAGCUCAAAGUGUACAUAGCAGACACAUUUUGUCAAUCCUAUUGUUAGCAACUCCCAGUGCUGGGAGUUUUAAAGCCCCAAUUAACAUUCCUUUGUCCAACAAAGAAGUUAUUAUAUUCUACAGCAAAACUGACCAGAAUCAAUUCACAUUGCUUAUGCUGUAAAUAAACAGUAUCAUCUGCAAAUGCUCACAAGCCUUUACACAGCAGCUUUCGCUGAGAAUCUACUGCUUUACCACUGUGUUUUACCAUCACGAAUGUUAAGUCUAGACACAAGAUUCACUGCAAAUCUUUGAUAACCCACAUACAAUUGAAGAGGGAUUUAUUUCAACUCAAAGUUCAGGAAAAAGCACAUUCAUAGUAGCGAAGGGUGAAAAGCGUUGGUGGUGUUUUCCUUCUAGAAAUGUCGAAGGACAAAACACUAUUUGUGAGUAUUUGUGUCUCUAACACACCCGGACAACCGAACGCGAGGGACGAGGCCGCUCUUACCACAGGCGCCCCCGCCGCCAUUUCCCCACCGCCCCGGGGCCCGCGGGGCGGGAGAACGAGCGCCCCCUGGCGGGCGGCGUGGAGCGGCUCCUGAGCUGAGGGAAGGGAGCAGCGGAGCGAGUAACCGCCACCGGGACACGGAAGCGAGGGGCGGCGGGCAGCUCCGCGGAACGCUUAGCGCACCGGCCGCGCAAAGACAGGCAGAUGGCCGGGGCAAGAAAAGACGCCGAGCGCUGGGGAACCGGGCGUGUGCUCGGUGAAGCCGGCCACCGCGGGAAAAGCUGGGCGCCGGCAGGGCUUCACCAGCGCUGCCCCGCAGCCUCUGCCGGGCCGGCCCGCGCAAUUUCCCGCAGUGCCGCGCCGCCUCCGCGCUGCCCGCAGCCCCCAGCGGCUCCUCACUCGCCCCGCUGGGCCAAGCCACGGGCGACAGCUCCCAGGCCUGCCCCUCACCCUGGUCACCCCCACUGGGCGAACGCGCUCAGCCCGGAGGCUGGCGGCCCCGCAGGCCGGGGCGGAGGGCGCCGAGGCGGGGGUGGUACCGCGCCGGCAGCGCUGCCCGGAAGGCGCACCGGCGGCCGUUCCCACAGCCGGGCCCGGAGGAGUGGAUAGCGCCGCCAGGGCCCGGUGCAGCCCCC